UACGUAGGGGGCGAGCGUUGUCCGGAUUCAUUGGGCGUAAAGAGCUCGUAGGCGGUUCGCUAAGUCAGGUGUGAAAUCUCCGCGUUCAACGCGGAGGGGCCACCUGAUACUGGCGUGACUCGAGUCCGGUAGGGGAGUGUGGAGUUCCCGGUAUAGCGGUGAAAUGCGCAGAUAUCGGGAGGAACACCAGUGGCGAAGGCGGGUCUCUGGGCCGAAACUGACGCUGAGGAGCGAAAGCGUGGGGAGCAAACAGG
rnacentral:rRNA from 1 species